ACGGAUCUCUUGGUUCUGGCAUCGAUGAAGAACGCAGCGAAAUGCGAUAAGUAAUGUGAAUUGCAGAAUUCAGUGAAUUAUCGAAUCUUUGAACGCACAUUGCGCCCGCCAGUAUUCUGGCGGGCAUGCCUGUCCGAGCGUCAUUU
rnacentral:rRNA from 1 species